UGAGGAGAGUGAGGGUCACCCUGUAGGCCA
rnacentral:piRNA from 1 species